rnacentral:pre_miRNA from 1 species
UCAUCAUGAUCAUCAUGACGAUGACGAUGACGAUGAUGAUGGUGAUGAUAAUCAUCAUCAUUAUCAUCAUCGUCGCCGUCGUCGUCGUUAUCGCCA